rnacentral:rRNA from 1 species
UGAGGAAUAUUGGUCAAUGGGCGAAAGCCUGAACCAGCCAAGUCGCGUGAGGGAUUAAGGCCCUAUGGGUCGUAAACCUCUUUUGUCAGGGAGCAAGGCCUCUCACGUGUGGGAGGUUGGAGAGUACCUGAAGAAAAAGCAUCGGCUAACUCCGUGCCAGCAGCCGCGGUAAUACGGAGGAUGCGAGCGUUAUCCGGAUUUAUUGGGUUUAAAGGGUGCGUAGGCGGGACCUUAAGUCAGCGGUAAAAUUGCGGUGCUCAACGCCGUAGAGCCGUUGAAACUGGGGUUCUUGAGUGAGCGAGA